UGCCUACGGGCGGCUGCAGUCGAGAAUCUUCGUCAAUGGGCGAAAGCCUGAACGAGCGACGCCGCGUGUGGGAUGAAGGCCCUUGGGUUGUAAACCACUGUCGAGGGGGAUGAAGGCAUUCAGGUCCUCCUGAAUGUUUGACAGAGCCCUGGAGGAAGCACGGGCUAAGUUCGUGCCAGCAGCCGCGGUAAUACGAACUGUGCGAACGUUAUUCGGAAUCACUGGGCUUACAGGGUGCGUAGGCGGCUAUUCAGGUCAGGUGUGAAAGCCCUCGGCUCAACCGAGGAACUGCGCUUGAAACCGGAUGGCUCGAGUCAACUAGAGGUGCACGGAACUUCCAGUGGAGCGGUGAAAUGUGUUGAUAUUGGAAGGAACACCGGAGGCGAAAGCGGUGCACUGGGGUUGGUCUGACGCUGAGGCACGAAAGCCAGGGGAGCGAACGGGAUUAGAUACCCGGGUAGUCC
rnacentral:rRNA from 1 species